CGGAAAGGCCCUGCUUUUGUGGGGUGCUCGAGUGGCGAACGGGUGAGUAACACGUGAGUAACCUGCCCUUGACUUUGGGAUAACUUCAGGAAACUGGGGCUAAUACCGGAUAGGAGCUCCUGCUGCAUGGUGGGGGUUGGAAAGUUUCGGCGGUUGGGGAUGGACUCGCGGCUUAUCAGCUUGUUGGUGGGGUAGUGGCUUACCAAGGCUUUGACGGGUAGCCGGCCUGAGAGGGUGACCGGCCACAUUGGGACUGAGAUACGGCCCAGACUCCUACGGGAGGCAGCAGUGGGGAAUAUUGCACAAUGGGCGGAAGCCUGAUGCAGCAACGCCGCGUGCGGGAUGACGGCCUUCGGGUUGUAAACCGCUUUCGCCUGUGACGAAGCGUGAGUGACGGUAAUGGGUAAAGAAGCACCGGCUAACUACGUGCCAGCAGCCGCGGUGAUACGUAGGGUGCGAGCGUUGUCCGGAUUUAUUGGGCGUAAAGGGCUCGUAGGUGGUUGAUCGCGUCGGAAGUGUAAUCUUGGGGCUUAACCCUGAGCGUGCUUUCGAUACGGGUUGACUUGAGGAAGGUAGGGGAGAAUGGAAUUCCUAGUGGAGCGGUGGAAUGCGCAGAUAUCAGGAGGAACACCAGUGGCGAAGGCGGUUCUCUGGGCCUUUCCUGACGCUGAGGAGCGAAAGCGUGGGGAGCGAACAGGCUUAGAUACCCUGGUAGUCCACGCUGUAAACGGUGGGUACUAGGUGUGGGGUCCAUUCCACGGGUUCCGUGCCGUAGCUAACGCUUUAAGUACCCCGCCUGGGGAGUACUGACGCAAGGCUAAACUCACAUGAAUUGACGGGG
rnacentral:rRNA from 1 species